AAGCGUUGUUCGGAAUUACUGGGCGUAAAGGGCUCSUAGGUGGCCAACUAAGUCAGACGUGAAAUCCCUCGGCUUAACCGGGGAACUGCGUCUGAUACUGGUUGGCUUGAGUUUGGGAGAGGGACGCGGAAUUCCAGGUGUAGCGGUGAAAUGCGUAGAUAUCUGGAGGAACACCGGUGGCGAAGGCGGCGUCCUGGACCAACACUGACACUGAUGAGCGAAAGCCAGGGGAGCAAACGGGAUUAGAUACCCCGGUAGUCCUGGCCCUAAACGAUGAAUGCUUGGUGUGGCGGGUAUCGAUCCCUGCCGUGCCGAAGCUAACGCAUUAAGCAUUCCGCCUGGGGAGUACGGUCGCAAGGCUG
rnacentral:rRNA from 1 species